UGCCGGACAUGCUGGUAGACUUCUUCUUCAGCACAGAAGAAAGAGCAUGCAGCUUGGUCAUCACACUGAUCUUUGUGCGGGUUGCAAAAUCAGCGGGAGUGGGAUUAAGAAAACAGUCCCGCGCAGGGCUCUACUUCACAGUAGUACUGGAAGAUUGUAUUCUCAUCUGAAACCAGGUGGUCUUGUUCCAGGAGCUUCCCAUAAUUGCCCGUAGCUCAUCUUGUGUGAACAUCUUUGACUGAUCAUAAGUAAGUGUAAAGACGAAAUCAUUAGAUAACUGUGUUCAUGUGAUGCAGGGAGAAUGUUUCUUGUUAUUGCUCAUUUGUUCUUGGAAGACCACACACAUAAUUGCCUGGAAUCACAAAUGUCUGUGUGGCUACUGUUGAAGGCAACAGAAAUUAAAGAAACGAAAAGAAGACUGCUUUGUGGUCGUUCUAAUCGCCACCUGAACAACACAUCAUCUUAAACUAGUGAAUACAGUCCUUCUUGAAGUCCUCAUGAACAAUGAGAAACCUUACAUGUAGGAUUGAUGGUACUCCAUCCUGGCUAGUUAUUUACACAAAUAGCCCGCUACAUUUUCUUACAACAAUGAAGAAUUUAAAAUGCCAGGUCAAUAUACAACUCUUGACAGAACCAUUCAAUUUUACAUUUAGAUAGAACAAAUAAUGUAUGUAAACUUAAAGAGGUCAUAUUAUGCUUUUUGGCCUUUCCCCACUCCUUUGUUGAGUUAUAUCUUUUUGUGCAUGUAAUAAGUUUGCAAAGUGAAAAAGCCUAAAGUCCUACCCAAAGGGAGUUCCCAUCUUCCACAGAAAACACUGCUCUGAACUCCCUAAAAACAGCUCAUUUGUAGCCCAGCCUUUUCUUCCGCUUUGCCUUGACAUCACAGCAAAACAAGCGUCAUAAUCAAGCGGGAAGCUUCCGGUUUGAG